CACCGACAUUUACUUACAAUUGGGUUCAUGUUUAUAAAAUUACAUUAAUUAACAAACAAAUGUUGGGCAAGUUAUUUAACAUCAUUAAAUCUCUAUUUGCUAGGGCACUUUACCAGUUUAAUUGAUCUUAUAACAAUUUUUCCCAGUUAUAACAACUUGAAUUAUAAAAAGUUCACGAUGAUUAGGAAUACGAAUUCCUUGCGGUUGCUAAUUUUGUUAUCAAUUUUUCUCAUCAAUACUUUAUCAAUGAAGUUUCGAGAAAUCAACGGAACAGCAAACUCACCACUGGAAAUGAAUAUGAAAAAACAUCAAUCCUUAUUAAUCAAUGGUUUCAGCGUGCCAGUUGAAAGACCAUUCUUCGCUUUGCUGUCUUUUAGACGGAGAGCACGAUACUGCGGCGCUGCAAUUAUUGACCCGUUUUGGUUGAUUACUGCCGCUCAUUGUGUGUAUGCAGCUCGAAUUAACGAUAUUUCAGUUGAAGUUCGUCAAUAUGUGCCAGAUUCAGGCUACAGCGAAUACUACCAGGUGUCGCGAAAAUUCAUUCCACACGGGUUUCGAAUGCAACUUGAAUACAAAAACGACAUCGCACUUUUGAAACUAACAACUGAAAUAGAAAACAGAGAGCGUGUGUUGCCAAUAUGUCGCAAUUUCCUUCCUCCUUUUGAGGCUUUUCCCCGACUUCUGGGAUUUUGUGGCAAGGGGACUAUUUCCACGACUCACUACGACCUGCCAUAUAAGCUUCAAGAAACGUUUUUUCACGAAAAUAAUUUCGAAUCCAAUACUCAGCCAGUUGAACUUCGAAUGUGUCGUGGCGAUAAAGUUUGUGUUGAAAGCGUAACUCCAGGAGCCAACAUUUGUCACUUUGACGACGGCAGUCCUCUUUACGUGUUUGAAUGUGGCAAUUUUGUUCCCCAAUGUAUAUAUGGCGUGGCUAGUUAUGCAAGAGAUCGCAACGACACGCCAGGUCAAUUUUGCAACGGCGGAAGCUUCUUUGCAAAUGUGCCUCGAUUUCAAAAUUGGAUAACUGUGACAAUGUCAUUGCACUGAACAACAAAUCGUGAAGAAACUGAAAAUCAAUCAGAGUUUAAGACAGUGAAGAUAUUCAAAACAGUGAGAUACCAUACGAAUAACUCCUGUCUUUUAGUUAUUUAGACGUCUUGACAGUUGAAAUGUAUGGUCGUCUUUGAAUUGAAUAAUCGAAACUGAUUUCUUUAGGUUGAUAAUAUCAAAGCUCCAUAAAUUCCAGCAAAAAG